GGAUGCGAGGGCCAUCAGACUGUGACAUCUGUCAUCCCGUUGAUCUCCAGGGUUUAUGGGCUAGUCUGGCUGGUGGGUGUGCAGUCCUCCCAAAGACAAAUGCUUGGUGGAAAAGGAAAUACUCCCUUCUAAAGGAGAACUAAUCUUCAGUCAAGGGUAUACAGGUAGUUAUGCUCUCCUGCCAGAACCUAAAAAAAGCUCUCAAAUAAGUAACUUUGAUGAUGUCCAACACAAUAAAAACUACAAGACAUUCAAGGAAGCAGGAAAAUGUGACAUAUAACUAGAAGA
rnacentral:snRNA from 1 species